UACGUAGGGUGCAAGCGUUAAUCGGAAUUACUGGGCGUAAAGCGUGCGCAGGCGGUUUGCUAAGACAGGUGUGAAAUCCCCGGGCUUAACCUGGGAACUGCGCUUGUUACUGGCAAGCUGGAGUGUGGCAGAGGGGGGUGGAAUUCCACGUGUAGCAGUGAAAUGCGUAGAGAUGUGGAGGAACACCGAUGGCGAAGGCAGCCCCCUGGGCUAACACUGACGCUCAUGCACGAAAGCGUGGGGAGCAAACAGG
rnacentral:rRNA from 1 species